AUUGAACGCUGGCGGCAUGCCUUACACAUGCAAGUCGAACGGCAGCGGACCUUCGGGUGCCGGCGAGUGGCGAACGGGUGAGUAAUAUAUCGGAACGUACCUUUCAGUGGGGGAUAACGUAGCGAAAGUUACGCUAAUACCGCAUAUUCUGUGAGCAGGAAAGCAGGGGAUCGCAAGACCUUGCGCUGAUUGAGCGGCCGAUAUCAGAUUAGCUAGUUGGUGAGGUAAAGGCUCACCAAGGCGACGAUCUCUAGCUGGUCUGAGAGGACGAUCAGCCACACUGGGACUGAGACACGGCCCAGACUCCUACGGGAGGCAGCAGUGGGGAAUAUUGGACAAUGGGCGAAAGCCUGAUCCAGCAAUGCCGCGUGUGUGAAGAAGGCCUGAGGGUUGUAAAGCACUCUCAAUCGUGAAGAAAAAGUUGCAGGCUAAUACCCUGUGACCUUGACGUUAACGAUACAAGAAGCACCGGC
rnacentral:rRNA from 1 species